CCUACGGGAGGCUGCAGUGGGGAAUAUUGGACAAUGGGGGGAACCCUGAUCCAGCCAUGCCGCGUGUGUGAAGAAGGCCCUCGGGUUGUAAAGCACUUUCAGUGAGGAAGAACGCCUGGUGGUUAAUACCCAUCAGGAAAGACAUCACUCACAGAAGAAGCACCGGCUAACUCCGUGCCAGCAGCCGCGGUAAUACGGAGGGUGCGAGCGUUAAUCGGAAUUACUGGGCGUAAAGCGCGCGUAGGUGGCUUGAUAAGCCGGUUGUGAAAGCCCCGGGCUCAACCUGGGAACGGCAUCCGGAACUGUCAAGCUAGAGUGCAGGAGAGGAAGGUAGAAUUCCCGGUGUAGCGGUGAAAUGCGUAGAGAUCGGGAGGAAUACCAGUGGCGAAGGCGGCCUUCUGGACUGAAACUGACACUGAGGUGCGAAAGCGUGGGUAGCAAACAGGAUUAGAUACCCGAGUAGUC
rnacentral:rRNA from 1 species